rnacentral:rRNA from 1 species
GACGAACGCUGGCGGCGUGCCUAAUACAUGCAAGUCGAACGCUUUUUCUUUCACCGGAGCUUGCUCCACCGAAAGAAAAAGAGUGGCGAACGGGUGAGUAACACGUGGGUAACCUGCCCAUCAGAAGGGGAUAACACUUGGAAACAGGUGCUAAUACCGUAUAACACUAUUUUCCGCAUGGGAGAAAGUUGAAAGGCGCUUUUGCGUCACUGAUGGAUGGACCCGCGGUGCAUUAGCUAGUUGGUGAGGUAACGGCUCACCAAGGCAACGAUGCAUAGCCGACCUGAGAGGGUGAUCGGCCACACUGGGACUGAGACACGGCCCAGACUCCUACGGGAGGCAGCAGUAGGGAAGCUUCGGCAAUGGACGAAAGUCUGACCGAGCAACGCCGCGUGAGUGAAGAAGGUUUUCGGAUCGUAAAACUCUGUUGUUAGAGAAGAACAAGGAUGAGAGUAAAAUGUUCAUCCCUUGACGGUAUCUAACCAGAAAGCCACGGCUAACUACGUGCCAGCAGCCGCCGUAA